rnacentral:tRNA from 1 species
GUCCGCUUAGCAUAGUGGUAGUGCGCAUCACUCGUAAUGAUGAGGUCACUUGUUCAAUCUAGGCAGUAGGCA